CACGUAGGGGGCGAGCGUUGUCCGGAAUCAUUGGGCGUAAAGAGCUCGUAGGCGGCUCGGUAAGUCGGGUGUGAAACCCCCAGGCUCAACCUGGGGACGCCACCCGAUACUGCUGUGGCUAGAGUCCAGUAGGGGAGUGUGGAAUUCCCGGUGUAGCGGUGAAAUGCGCAGAUAUCGGGAGGAACACCUGUGGCGAAAGCGGCGCACUGGACCACAACUGACGCUGAGGCGCGAAAGCUAGGGGAGCAAACAGG
rnacentral:rRNA from 1 species